GGUGUCCAGUUGAAAUUUGUGAUAUUGCUGUUAGGUAGGCUGCAAGUAUUACUUAAUUGCAGAAAAUUGGUCACCUAUAUGUUUUGAAGAAUAACUAAUUUUAAUAUAUGUAGCUCAGUUACUAUUUUAGAUAUUUAAAACUAACACUUAAAUGUUUGACUUACUUUGCAAUGUUGUGUGCUAUUGUAGAUGAACAAUCCAAGAUUUUUCCAAGCGAUAAAGACUUGGUGAGGCAAAACAUUUUUCUUUCUAUAGCGAGUUCCUCCAUUGUUGAGGGCAUAUUUGGGUGAGUGUCUCAAUAUAAUGAUACAUGCUGAUUUACGGAACAAUGGUCGGUUUUUUUUGCAUCGGGUGACAUAUAAUUUGCAAGUUCAGCGACAAAUAUAUGGAUCACUUUUUGUGCUUAGAAUAAAGAUGAAUUUUAGUUGAACUAUACAUUUGGAGAACUUAAAUCAACGGAUGGUAUGAACCCGCUAGAUGUUGU
rnacentral:lncRNA from 1 species